rnacentral:rRNA from 1 species
UACGUAGGGGGGCUAGCGUUGUCCGGAUUUAUUGGGCGUAAAGAGCGUGUAGGCGGCCUGGUAGGUCUGCUGUGAAAACUCGAGGCUCAACCUCGAGAUGUCGGCGGAAACCAUCUGGCUAGAGUCCGGAAGAGGAGAGUGGAAUUCCUGGUGUAGCGGUGAAAUGCGCAGAUAUCAGGAAGAACACCUAUGGCGAAGGCAGCUCUCUGGGACGGUACUGACGCUGAGGAGCGAAAGCGUGGGGAGCGAACAGG